CUGCAAUACUCUGGUAUUUUGAUAUCUUUUUAUAUAUACAUCUCAAAUAUUUAAUAUAAUAUUUUUAGGCGCCCUGUGCGAAAAAAUUUCACAGCGCCCCUCCCUGGUCACACCUCCUCAUCCGUGUAUAGUGCAUGUUUAGGGGCUUUAUUAAAUUAAUAGUUAUUAAAAAAAAGAUUAAAGGGAAACUAUAGUCACCAUAACGACUUUAGCUCACUGAAGCAGUUUUUGGAUAUAGAUCUAGCCUCUGAAUUUUUUUCUGCUCAUUUAUCUGCCAUUUAGGAGUUAAAUCACUUUUUGUAUCUGUUUAUGCAGCCCUAGUCACACCUCCCCUGGCUGUGACUGACACAGCCUGCAUGAAAACAACAAGAUUUAAUUUUCAAUCAGAUGUAACUUACUUUUAAAGUUUUUAUCUCCUGCUCUGUAAAUGGAACUUUAAUCACACACAG